rnacentral:rRNA from 1 species
UUUGCCUACGGGAGGCAGCAGUGGGGAAUAUUGGGCAAUGGGCGCAAGCCUGACCCAGCAACGCCGCGUGAAGGAAGAAGGCUUUCGGGUUGUAAACUUCUUUUAAGAGGGAAGAGCAGAAGACGGUACCUCUUGAAUAAGCCACGGCUAACUACGUGCCAGCAGCCGCGGUAAUACGUAGGUGGCAAGCGUUGUCCGGAUUUACUGGGUGUAAAGGGCGUGUAGCCGGGCUGACAAGUCAGAUGUGAAAUCCGGGGGCUCAACCCCUGAACUGCAUUUGAAACUGU